rnacentral:rRNA from 1 species
GACGAACGCUGGCGGCGCGCCUAACACAUGCAAGUCGAACGAGCGAGAGAGAGCUUGCUUUCUUGAGCGAGUGGCGAACGGGUGAGUAACGCGUGAGGAACCUGCCUCAAAGAGGGGGACAACAGUUGGAAACGACUGCUAAUACCGCAUAAGCCCACGACCCGGCAUCGGGUUGAGGGAAAAGGAGCAAUCCGCUUUGAGAUGGCCUCGCGUCCGAUUAGCUAGUUGGUGAGGUAACGGCCCACCAAGGCGACGAUCGGUAGCCGGACUGAGAGGUUGAACGGCCACAUUGGGACUGAGACACGGCCCUGACUCCUACGGGAGGCAGCAGUGGGGAAUAUUGCAAAAUGGGGGAAACCAUGAUGCAGCGACGCCGCGUGGAGGAAGAAGGUCUUCGGAUAGUAAACUCCUGUUGUUGAGGAAGAUAAUGACGGUACUCAACAAGGAAGUGACGGCUAACUACGUG